UCUUGUACACCAUAUUUCUUCCACUUCCCAUUCUCGAAUCAAAUUGAAACUUUGUAUAAUUAUUCGUUGUCGAAGACAAUAUGGCCUACAUUAAUCAACAAACUAACCAGCUACUUGGAGAACAUUAAAUUGCAGUAUUGAGCUAUAUGGAAUAGCAAUUUCUUUUGGAGCUUCCAGUGGCUUCUUUGCUACUUUGAUGUUCAGUGUGCCUUGAGUAUUCAUCACUGAAGUUACAGAU
rnacentral:sRNA from 1 species